rnacentral:rRNA from 1 species
UACGUAGGGGGCAAGCGUUGUCCGGAUUUAUUGGGCGUAAAGAGCGUGUAGGCGGCCUGACAGGUCUGCUGUGAAAACUCGAGGCUCAACCUCGAGAUGUCGGCGGAAACCGUCUGGCUAGAGUCCGGAAGAGGAGAGUGGAAUUCCUGGUGUAGCGGUGAAAUGCGCAGAUAUCAGGAAGAACACCCGUGGCUAAGGCGGCUCUCUAGUACGGUACGGACGCUGAGACGCGAAAGCGUGGGGAGCGAACAGG